rnacentral:rRNA from 1 species
CACGUAGGGUGCGAGCGUUGUCCGGAAUUAUUGGGCGUAAAGAGCUCGUAGGCGGUUUGUCGCGUCGGCCGUGAAAACCUGCAGCUUAACUGUGGGCGUGCGGUCGAUACGGGCAUCACUGGAGUUCGGUAGGGGAGACUGGAAUUCCUGGUGUAGCGGUGAAAUGCGCAGAUAUCAGGAGGAACACCGGUGGCGAAGGCGGGUCUCUGGGCCGAUACUGACGCUGAGGAGCGAAAGCGUGGGGAGCGAACAGG